rnacentral:lncRNA from 1 species
AGAGAAAGGGAAAUUGCUACACAAAGAUCCUGCCUCUGGGUUCCUGCCCUGUCUGAGCACCUAUCCUGACUUCCUUCAAGGCUGAACAGUGAUGUGGACUUACAAAAAUCCCCAGGAAGAAAUAAGCAGCAUCCCUCUCGAUGACCCCUGUGCCUAGAAUAUAGCAGACUCGUAAACACUUAUGAAAGGAAACUCAGUGUGACUUUUAGAUUGAAUUCUAAUUUCAAGACAACUCCUCAAACAAUUCGCCACAGAACAGACCAUUAGAGUUAUGUGAUAAGAUACCAUGAUCAGAAACAAUUUACAGAAAGAAGAGUCUUGGGUUCCAGAGAGAGUCCAUGAUGUCUGAGAGAGGCUUGGCAACAUGGGCCCAGAAAAGGAAGCUGAGAGAUUACAUCUUCAACUGCAAGCAUGGUACAGAGAGCAAACUGGAAGUGCAUUGAGGCUGUGAACUCUCGGAGACCUCCUAAAACGAUUUCCAUCCUCCAGCAAGGCCAUAAAUACCACAUCCCUCAUCAUGUCGUCAAAUGGGAAUCAAGUGCUUCAAUACAAAAGCCUAUGGAGGACAUUCAUAUUUAAACCACUGUAUUCAACAUGCCCAGAGCCUUCUUUAUUAGCUGCUUUCUAGAACUGCCACACUAUUGUUCACACACACACACACACACACACACACACACACACACACACACACCACAAUGUGUCUAUAUAUAUACAUGAAAGAGAAAACACUGUAAGACGGUUCUGGGGAUGGUGACACCUUCCUUUAAUUCCAGCACUUGGGAGGUAGAGGCAGGCAGCUCUCUGAGUUCAAGACUAUCCUGGUCUAUAUCCAGGACACCCAGGACUAUACAAAAAAAAAAAAAAAAAGAGGGAGUAGGGAGAGGUGAGGAGAGAACACAUUUAAAAGCCUUGAUUAAACAAUUUAGUUUCCUAAGUACAGUUUUCUAGUUUUAAUUAAUAUACAAAAAACAGACUAUCAAAAGUGGGUACAUUUAUAUCUGAUUUUCCAUCAGCACCAUAUAAAUGUUUUCAUCAUGUAUAGCAGGACUGCUUAUUUGAUACCCAAGUAGACACAGCUAAUGAGUGUAGAUAGAUAGAUAGAUAGAUAGAUAGAUAGAUAGAUAGGCAGAUAGAUAGAUAGAUAGAUAGAUAGAUAGAUAGAUAGAUAGAUAGAUAGAUAGAUAGGCAGGCAGGCAGGCAGGCAGGCAGGCAGGCAGGCAGGCAGGCAGGCAGAUAGAUAGAUAGAGAUAGGCAGAUAGAUAGGCAGAUAGAUAGAUAGAUAGAUAGAUAGAUAGAUAGAUAGAUAGAUAGAUAGGCAGAUAGAUAGAUAGAUAGAUAGAUAGAUAGAUAGAUAGAUAGAUAGAUAGAUAGAUAGGCAGGCAGGCAGGCAGGCAGGCAGGCAGGCAGGCAGAUAGAUAGAUAGAGAUAGGCAGAUAGAUAGGCAGAUAGAUAGAUAGAUAGAUAGAUAGAUAGAUAGAUAGAUAGAUAGAUAGAAAGAUAAUAGAUAGAUAGAUAGAUAGAUAGAUAGAUAGAUAGAUAGAUAGAUAGAUAGAUGUUUUUAGGACAUGCUGGUUUCUCUGAUGUAAGCUGUUUAUGAAUUUUUUUAAAAAAAAAAGAAUCUCAAUGCCUUCUUUUAAGGAACUUAUAUUCUCUCAGGCAUGAUAGGUUAAUGAAAUACAAUAGUCACAUCAGUAACAAUUAUUAGUGUACAACCAAUGACCUGCUCUUUGUGAAGGCUCUGAAGAAACAGAAUAUCAAGGCUUCCCAGAGAAGGAGAGCAACAUAGCUGAUGGUGGAGCAUGAGCAGGAGACACCACUCACUGCUAGGCAAAUUGCUAUCAAACAGAAGGAUGGUAUGCCCAAUGGCCAACAGCGAGACUCACCCAGUGAGCUACAGAAUCCAUGGCUGUGAUGUGCACUAGGGUAAUUAGGGGUCCAUAGAAGAGAGACAAACUACAGGACAUAUGGACUUGAGAAAUGACACUUCUUUAUGAAUGUUGUUGAAAGCCAUUAAGGAAGAAAUCAGAGUGUGACAUAAACAGAUUCAUGUCUUGGUUAAUAACUCAGUGUUGCUCAUUGAGAAAAUACUGGUGCCACAAUCAGAGACUAUCCGACUUUGGCAUCCAAAGUAAAUCUCCCCUGCAUGUGCUCAGGCAAUACCCACACCUUCCUACUUUCGUUAUAGGUAACAAACUGACACAGACUGGGUUCAAGAAGAUGAGCUAUGGGGCUGGGGUAAUAAUUCAAGCAUGUGAUGUGGUCCUUAGCAAGGGUGGCGUGGUUCUAGGAGCUUGUCAUUUCCACUGAGAAUUAAAGUUCUGUUUAGUUUCCUGCUGA